rnacentral:rRNA from 1 species
GAUGAACGCUGGCGGCGUGCCUAAUACAUGCAAGUCGAGCGAACAGACGAGGAGCUUGCUCCUCUGACGUUAGCGGCGGACGGGUGAGUAACACGUGGAUAACCUACCUAUAUGACUGGGAUAACUUCGGGAAACCGGAGCUAAUACCGGAUAAUAUAUUGAACCGCAUGGUUCAAUAGCGAAAGACGGUUUUGCUGUCACUUAUAGAUGGAUCCGCGCCGCAUUAGCUAGUUGGUAAGGUAACGGCUUACCAAGGCAACGAUGCGUAGCCGACCUGAGAGGGUGAUCGGCCACACUGGAACUGAGACACGGUCCAGACUCCUACGGGAGGCAGCAGUAGGGAAUCUUCCGCAAUGGGCGAAAGCCUGACGGAGCAACGCCGCGUGAGUGAUGAAGGUCUUCGGAUCGUAAAACUCUGUUAUUAGGGAAGAACAAAUGUGUAAGUAACUAUGCACGUCUUGACGGUACCUAAUCAGAAAGCCACGGCUAACUACGUG